rnacentral:lncRNA from 1 species
GUUUUGGAAGUACACCACUAAUUCAUUGUCCCAUUGCUUUCUAUGUUAAAUUCCUCCAUUUCAAGCAGGCACACCUCUUUCAUUUUAAGUUCAAAUAAAGUGGCAAUCAUUGCAUAUCAAAGCAACACUUUAUGGUGUCUUGUACUGAAAAAAUCAACAUACCUUUAAUGGCAUAUAAGAAAGAACUGGUUCCUGGAACUUCGAAUGUACCAAAACAGGUACUUCAGAUCGGACAAACAGACAAAAUGUACCCUCUUUUUAAAAUUUAGUGCAGUUUUUUUAAUACUCAAAUUUAUAAAUCCAAAAGUGUUCUACAAUGAUCACCAGUCCU